rnacentral:rRNA from 1 species
GAUGAACGCUGGCGGCGUGCCUAAUACAUGCAAGUCGAGCGAACGGACGAGAAGCUUGCUUCUCUGAUGUUAGCGGCGGACGGGUGAGUAACACGUGGAUAACCUACCUAUAAGACUGGGAUAACUUCGGGAAACCGGAGCUAAUACCGGAUAAUAUUUUGAACCGCAUGGUUCAAAAGUGAAAGACGGUCUUGCUGUCACUUAUAGAUGGAUCCGCGCUGCAUUAGCUAGUUGGUAAGGUAACGGCUUACCAAGGCGACGAUGCAUAGCCGACCUGAGAGGGUGAUCGGCCACACUGGAACUGAGACACGGUCCAGACUCCUACGGGAGGCAGCAGUAGGGAAUCUUCCGCAAUGGGCGAAAGCCUGACGGAGCAACGCCGCGUGAGUGAUGAAGGUCUUCGGAUCGUAAAGCUCUGUUAUUAGGGAAGAACAUAUGUGUAAGUAACUGUGCACAUCUUGACGGUACCUAAUCAGAAAGCAACGGCUAACUACGUG